GUAGACUAACAGUGUUGACGCCACGUUACAGGCGGACUAACAGUGUUGACGACACGUUACAGGCAGACUAACAGUGUUGGGGAAGUUACAGGUAGACUAACAGUGUUGACGCCACGUUACAGGUGGACUAACAGUGUUGACGCCACAUUACAGGUAGACUAACAGUGUUGGGGAAGUUACAGGUAGACUAACAGUGUUGACGCCACGUUACAGGUGGACUAACAGUGUUGGGGAAGUUACAGGUGGACUAACAGUGUUGGCGUCACAUUACAGGUAGACUAACAGUGUUGACGCCACGUUACAGGUGGACUAACAGUGUUGGGGAAGUUACAGGUAGACUAACAGUGUUGGGGAAGUUACAGGUAGACUAACAGUGUUGGGGAAGUUACAGGUAGACUAACAGUGUUGGGGAAGUUACAGGUAGACUAACAGUGUUGGGGAAGUUACAGGUGGACUAACAGUGUUGGGGAAGUUACAGGUGGACUAACAGUGUUGACGUCACGUUACAGGUGGACUAACAGUGUUGACGCCACGUUACAGGUAGACUAACAGUGUUGACGCCACGUUACAGGUAGACUAACAGUGUUGACGCCACGUUACAGGUGGACUAACAGUGUUGACGCCACGUUACAGGUGGACUAACACUGUUGGGGAAGUUACAGGUAGACUAACAGUGUUGACGCC
rnacentral:lncRNA from 1 species